GCCCGGCUAGCUCAAUCGGUAGAGCGUGAGACUCUUAGGAAUUCCUUAGUAUCUCCGACAUCUCAAGGUUGUGGGUUCGACCCCCACGUCGGGCU
rnacentral:tRNA from 1 species